AUUUAUUGGAAUAUUUUUGGGAAUUAAAUUUGUAUGACAGAUUAUAAUUGAAAUUAUCAGAAUUUAUUCAAAGAAUCACUUUUACUUUUUGAUUACUCGAAGUUACAUUUGCAACUUCUUAGGGAUUUACAAUUGAAUAGGAGUAAAAUUAAGAUAGAAAGGAGCAAUCUCGUUUCUCAACUAAUUCAAUGUCUUUCGCCCGUUUUACAACACUCAGUACUUGAUAAAUUGCAUUAGAGGAAUAAGUUCAGGUGAUGGUAACAUAGUACGCUUGUUUCUAGUAGUUGAAUACGAUCAAGAGGCAAAGUAUCAUUGGUGACGUAGAUAGUGAGCUCAGAAUGGCAUAUUGAUUCUGUGACGUCAUAUACAACCUACGCAAGAAACAUGCCAUUAAAUUCGCGGU